CAUGUCCAAGUAUAAGCAAUCAUACUGUGAAACUGCGAAUGGCUCAUUAAAUCAGUUAUCGUUUAUUUGAUAGUACCUUUACCUGGAUAACCGUGGUAAUUCUAGAGCUAAUACAUGCUAAAAACCCCGACUUCGGGAGGGGUGUAUUUAUUAGAUAAAAAACCAAUGCCCUCUGGGCUCCUUGGUGAUUCAUAAUAACUAAACGAAUCGCAUGGCCUUGCGCCGGCGAUGGUUCAUUCAAAUUUCUGCCCUAUCAACUUUCGAUUGUAAGAUAGAGGCUUACAAUGGUCUUAACGGGUAACGGAGAAUUAGGGUUCGAUUCCGGAGAGGGAGCCUGAGAAACGGCUACCACAUCCAAGGAAGGCAGCAGGCGCGCAAAUUACCCAAUGCUAAUUCAGCGAGGUAGUGACAAUAAAUACUGAUACGGGGCUCUUUCGGGUCUCGUAAUUGGAAUGAGUACAAUCUAAAUCCCUUAACGAGGAACAAUUGGAGGGCAAGUCUGGUGCCAGCAGCCGCGGUAAUUCCAGCUCCAAUAGCGUAUAUUAAAGUUGUUGCCGUUAAAAAGCUCGUAGUUGAACCUUGGACCUGGCUGAUCUGUCCUCCUCAUCGAGCGCACGGAUUCGGUCGGGUCUUUCCUUCUGGGGAACCCGAUGCCCUUUACUGGGUGUCGCGGGGAACCAGGACUUUUACCUUGAAAAAAUUAGAGUGUUCAAAGCAGGCCUUUGCUCGAAUACAUUAGCAUGGAAUAAUAGAAUAGGACAUCGGUUCUAUUUUGUUGGUUUCUAGGACCGCUGUAAUGAUUAAUAGGGAUAGUCGGGGGCGUCAGUAUUCAAUUGUCAGAGGUGAAAUUCUUGGAUUUAUUGAAGACUAACUACUGCGAAAGCAUUCGCCAAGGAUGUUUUCAUUAAUCAGUGAACGAAAGUUAGGGGAUCGAAGACGAUCAGAUACCGUCGUAGUCUUAACCAUAAACUAUGCCGACUAGGGAUCGGACGGUGGUUUUUUUAUGCCCCGUUCGGCACCUUACGAGAAAUCAAAGUUUUUGGGCUCGGGGGGA
rnacentral:rRNA from 1 species